rnacentral:lncRNA from 1 species
GUGGUAAAUAGGUUGUUCCGAGUCUUGAUGGAUGUUAGUUUAGCUAGUUCUAGUCAUGAUUAGGUUUUGGUUAUGGAGAUGUUUACAUUAUAACUACAGUUAGGUACUUCUUUUUUAUGUUUUGCCAAUUAAUUCAGGAAGUUUACCUUAUUAUUUUCAAUAAUGAUCUCAUCUAACUAUCCAAUUUCAAAUCUUUCUAGAAACUUUAUAAUGUUUCACUACAAAAUUCCCAAUUUUAUAGAAGAUCUCGUGUAUAAAUUCUAAAUGGAUUUUCUUUG